rnacentral:tmRNA from 1 species
GGGGCCGACUGGUUUUGACAGGAAGCCGAGGUGAGUGUAAGCAUGUAGGAAGUGGAGCGUAUCUUCCUUAACAAUACGUUCAAAACAAUAAACGGCGAAUCUAACUACGCCCUUGCUGCCUAAUUUUAGAUAAUUAGCUAGCUUGUGUCCUGCCAGGCCUUCGUUCUGCCGGUCUGGCGCCAAGGACAUCAUCCCGCAGGACUAGUCUUUGCAGGGCUGUGAUGCAAAGGCGAACUUAACCGCAGCUACGGGUCGUUAACAGGUUUGUUCUGCACCUUGACGAUCCCGACAACCCAAGCAAAACUAAACAUGUAGAAAGCGCUACAUCUUUCUUAUCUGGACCCGGGUUCGACUCCCGGCGGCUCCACCA